rnacentral:rRNA from 1 species
CAAGACCUUGCGCUUUUGGAGCGGCCGAUGUCUGAUUAGCUAGUUGGUGAGGUAAAGGCUUACCAAGGCUUCGAUCAGUAGCUGGUCUGAGAGGACGACCAGCCACACUGGGACUGAGACACGGCCCAGACUCCUACGGGAGGCAGCAGUGGGGAAUUUUGGACAAUGGGGGAAACCCUGAUCCAGCCAUGCCGCGUGAGUGAAGAAGGCCUUCGGGUUGUAAAGCUCUUUCAGCCGGAACGAAACGGUCACGGUUAAUACCCGCGAUCACUGACGGUACCGGAAGAAGAAGCACCGGCUAACUACGUGCCAGCAGCCGCGGUAAUACGUAGGGUGCGAGCGUUAAUCGGAAUUACUGGGCGUAAAGCGUGCGCAGGCGGUUUUGUAAGUCAGAUGUGAAAUCCCCGGGCUCAACCUGGGAACU